UCAUAUGAAAAAUACAAGACAGCAAUGGAAAAUCUUGGAAUAGCAAAUUUCAACAGAAAUCCGACCGGUGCAGACGUUGAUAAAAUUUCACUCGACGUAUUUGUGAAUGAAGCGAAACAGGGCCUGUCAGGUGCAUCGGCUACAUUUGCAGUGUGAAGACAAUUUUGCUUAUGUAAAUAUUCUUUACUUUUGUUGUUCCAUGCUUGUACAUCCGAUGUAUUAUAUGCUUUUUAUUCUAGUAAAUAUUUAUCAAUUUGUGUCUCACCAAACCUAUUUUAAUCCCCUCCUCUUUCUCCCUUCCCUUUCUGCAGGAUUCAAGAACUCUAAAAACUGAAACGCUUUCUUAUCUUUAUUGCCUCAAAGUUUUAAAAAAGCAUUCGGUCAUACCGAUGCCGCUUUGUGCUACGAAUUCGGCAUUGCAUUGUAGGGCGUGAAGCAAAGCUCAUUUCAAACAAAUUAUUGCUGUUUUGCACGCACCGCCGAGUUGUUUCAUUAAUCCUUAUCGCGCCGAAGUAGGUGUGAAAACUCUUUAAUCCUUGAAUCAAAGAAAAUUACAAAUAAAGUGGUUUUCGGUCAUUGCACCCUUAUGUACGAAACGUGCCGACCAGCAAAUAUAUUCAUUCACUUCACGAUUUUCAUUCACUUGUACAGCUUGAGUGAAAUUUUAUAGUGAUAGGGAAUUUCUGCUGGAGUAUUCGCAUAUAAUUCUUUUUCAAAUGGAUUUAUUUUUAGCAUUUUGCCUUUGACGUUUUUUGAUCGCUCCAGAUUUCGUUGCCAAUGCUCCAAGAUUUUAUAUCAUCAGCUAUAGUACGACCAUACAAACUCGAGAUUAGCUCUAAGUCUCUUAAUUUUUUUAUUUGAUACUAAACUAUGCACAAAACUGCUAAAGAACCUUUUUAAAUGGAACAAUCUUGCGCAAAAAUGCAGCUCUACAUAACUCAACAAACGAAAGCUCAACAUAGCAUAAAACAAAAUUUCCAGAUCAGAAGUAUGUACCUGAUUCUCUGAAAGAAUACCUUCCCAUCCCAUUUUUAAAAGAAAGAUUUUCAAGCAGUUCUUAAGGUUUAAGGGUUCGAUUUUAUGAACAUGCUAUUCAACCCCGAUUCCGUAACCGCUAAUAGAUAUAGAAUCAUAUCUAUGGUUAAUUGUGAUUCUUGAGAUAGAUGAAAUUGAAAAUAUUUACAACUGCAAAAUAUUUUUUCCAGUGGUUGUGCCUUUCUUUGCGUUGUAGCUUCUCAGUUGUAUUCGACCCACGAGAAAAGUUUUUGUUUUAUCGUAAAAGCUCUAUUUAGUCCCCCUCUCAAUUAAGCCCCCUCUUCAAAAGCACCCCCCCCUCCACCGAUUUCGUACACUUGAAGUAACCUACCAUAUUCAUAAAUUAUCAUAUUCUUUUUUUAA